UUUCAAUUGGCUUCCACCUCGAUGACCGUAUCAGCGGAAUCCAGCACCAGCAUGUCACCAACCACUGGUGCAUCAACAUCAGCCGUUGGUUCUACAACAACAGCUGAUGUUUCUACAACCACUGGAGGGUCAACAAACGCUGGAGGAUCAACAACCACUGGAGGACCAGCAACCCCCGGAGGUUCAUCCACAACUGCAGCACCAACAACCACUGGAGGAUCAACAACCACUGAAGGGUCAACAACCACAGAAGGGUCGACAGCUACAGGAGGAUCGACAGCCCCUGGAGGAUCCACAACAACCGGAGCAUCAUCAACAACGCAAGAAACUCCAGCUAUUACUACCAGUUCUCCAACAACUACUGCUGGAUUAUCAACUACCACAGGAGGUUCAACCAUCACAAUUGGAUCAACAAUUGGUGGAUCAACAACCAUAGGAGUAACAACAACCACUGGAGAAUCAACGACUGGAGAAUCAACAAUCACUGCAGGACCAACCAACUCUGGGGGUUCAACCAUCACUACUGGAUCAACAACUGGUGGAUCAACAACCACUGCAGGAUCCACAACAACCGGAACAUCAUCAACAACGCAAGAAACUCCAGCUAUUGCUACCAGUUCUCCAACAACUACUGCUGGAUUAUCAACUGCCACUGGAGGUUCAACCAUCACAAUUGGAUCAACAAUUGGUGGAUCAACAACCAUGGGAGUAACAACAACCACUGGAGAAUCAACGACUGGAGAAUCAACAAUCACUGGAGGACCAAUCACCACUGGAGGUUCAACCAUCACUACUGGAUCAACAACUGGUGGAUCAUCAACCACUGGAGGAUCCACAUCAACCGGAACAUCAUCAACAACGCAAGAAACUCCAGCUAUUGCUACCAGUACUCCAACAACUACUGCUGGAUUAUCAACUACCACUGGAGGUUCAACCAUCACAAUUGGAUCAACAAUUGGUGGAUCAACAACCAUGGGAGUAACAACAACCACUGGAGAAUCAACGACUGGAGAAUCAACAAUCACUGGAGAACCAAUCACCACUGGAGGUUCAACCAUCACUACUGGAUCAACAACUGGUGGAUCAACAACUGGAGGAUCCACAUCAACCGGAACAUCAUCAACAACGCAAGAAACUCCAGCUAUUACUACCAGUUCUCCAACAACUACUGCUGGAUUAUCAACUACCACAGGAGGUUCAACCAUCACAAUUGGAUCAACAAUUGGUGGAUCAACAACCAUGGGAGUAACAACAACCACUGGAGAAUCAACGACUGGAGAAUCAACAAUCACUGGAGGACCAAUCACCACUGGAGGUUCAACCAUCACUACUGGAUCAACAACUGGUGGAUCAACAACUGGAGGAUCCACAACAACCGGAGCAUCUUUAACAACGCAAGAAACUCCAGCUAUUGCUACCAGAUCUCCAACAACUACUGCUGGAUUAUCAACUACCACUGGAGGUUCAACCAUCACGAUUGGAUCAACAAUUGGUGGAUCAACAACCAUAGGAGUAACAACAACCACUGGAGAAUCAACGACUGGAGAAUCAACAAUCACUGGAGGACCAACCACCACUGGAGGUUCUACCAUCAUUACUGGAUCAACAACUGGUGGAUCAACAACUGGAGGAUCCACAUCAACCGGACCAUCAUCAACAACGCAAGAAACUCCAACUAUUACAACAACUACCAGUUCUCCAACAACUACUGCUGGAUUAUCAACCACCACUGGAGGUUCAACCAUCACUACUGGAUUAACAAUUGGUGGAUCAACAACAAUAGGAGGAACAAUCACCACUGGAGGUUCAACCAUCACUACUGGAUCAACAACUGGUGGAUCAAUAACAACUGGAGGAUCCAUAACAACUGGAGCAUCAUCAUCAACCACACGAGAAACUCAGACUAUUACAACAACUACCAGUUCUCCAACCACUACUGCUGGAUUAUCAACUACCACUGGAGGAUCAACAACCACUCGAGGAUCCACAACGACUACAGGACCAACAACAACUGCAGAAUCAACAACCACUGGAGGAUCAACCAUCACUACUGGAUCAACAAUUGGUGGAUCAACAACCAUAGUAGGCAUUAUCACCACUGGAAGUUCAACCAUCACUACUGGAUCAACAACUGGUGGAUCAAUAACAACUGGAGGAUUCACAACAACUGGAGCAUCAUCAUCAACAACACAAGAAACUCCAACUAUUACAACAACUACCAGUUCUCCAACCACUACUGCUGGAUUAUCAACUACCACUGGAGGAUCAACAACCACUCGAGGAUCCACAACGACUGCAGGACCAACAGCAACUGCAGAAUCAACAACCACUGGAGGAUCAACAACCACUGGAGGAUCAACAACCACUGGAGGAUCAACAACCACUGGAGGGUCAGCAACCACUGGAGUAUCAACGACCACUGCAGUACCAACAACCACUGGAGGAUCAACCAUCACUACUGGAUCAACAAUUGGUGGAUCAACAACCAUAGUAGGCAUUAUCACCACUGGAAGUUCAACCAUCACUACUGGAUCAACAACUGGUGGAUCAAUAACAACUGGAGGAUUCACAACAACUGGAGCAUCAUCAUCAACAACACAAGAAACUCCAACUAUUACAACAACUACCAGUUCUCCAACAACUACUGCUGGAUUAUCAACUACCACUGGAGGAUCAACAACCACUCGAGGAUCCACAACGACUGCAGGACCAACAGCAACUGCAGAAUCAACAACCACUGGAGGAUCAACAACCACUGGAGGAUCAACAACCACUGGAGGAUCAACAACCACUGGAGGGUCAGCAACCACUGCAGUACCAACAACCACUGGAGGAUCAACAACCACUGAAGUACCAACAACAACUGGAGAAUCAACAACCACUGGAGGAUCAACAACCACUGGAGGAUCAACAACCACUGGAGGGUCAACAACCACUGCAGUACCAACAACCACUGGAGGAUCAACAACCACUGAAGUACCAACAACCACUGGAGAAUCAACAACCACUGGAGGGUCAACCAUCCCUACUGAAUCAAUAACUGGUGGAUCAACAACAACUGGAGCAUCAUCAUCAACAACACAAGAAACUCCAACUAUUACAACAACUACCAGUUCUCCGACCACUACUGCUGGAUUAUCAACUACCACUGGAGGAUCAACAACCACUCGAGGAUCCACAACGACUGCAGGACCAACAGCAACUGCAGAAUCAACAACCACUGGAGGAUCAACAACCACUGGAGGAUCAACAACCACUGGAGGGUCAGCAACCACUGCAGUACCAACAACCACUGGAGGAUCAACAACCACUGAAGUACCAACAACAACUGGAGAAUCAACAACCACUGGAGGAUCAACAACCACUGGAGGAUCAACAACCACUGGAGGGUCAGCAACCACUGCAGUACCAACAACCACUGGAGGAUCAACAACCACUGAAGUACCAACAACCACUGGAGAAUCAACAACCACUGGAGGGUCAACCAUCCCUACUGAAUCAAUAGCUGGUGGAUCAACAACAACUGGAGCAUCAUCAUCAACAACACAAGGUACAACAACUAGAAGUAUUCAAACAAAAUGUCAGCUAAAGGUGCCUGAAGUAAUAUUUAAAGGCUAAUAUAUGAGUGUAAUUGUUUAGACACGGCUUUGCCACCUGUCAGCUAUUAGUGAGUGAAAUAGGCUGUGAGAUUAUAAUUUCUGACCAAUUUGGGCAUCUCAGGAGCAGAAAUCUCACAAAAGACCCAUGAACCAGGGGAUAUUGUUUGAAGGGAG
ensembl:lncRNA